GACGAACGCUGGCGGCGUGCUUAACACAUGCAAGUCGAACGGAAAGGCCCUGCUUUUGUGGGGUGCUCGAGUGGCGAACGGGUGAGUAACACGUGAGUAACCUGCCCUUGACUUUGGGAUAACUUCAGGAAACUGGGGCUAAUACCGGAUUGGAGCUCCUGCUGCAUGGUGGGGGUUGGAAAGUUUCGGCGGUUGGGGAUGGACUCGCGGCUUAUCAGCUUGUUGGUGGGGUAGUGGCUUACCAAGGCUUUGACGGGUAGCCGGCCGGAGAGGGUGACCGGCCACAUUGGGACUGAGAUACGGCCCAGACUACUACGGGAGACAGCAGUGGGGAAUAUUGCACAAUGGGCGGAAGCCUGAUGAAGCAACGCCGCGUGCGGGAUGACGGCCUUCGGGUUGUAAACCGCUUUCGCCUGUGACGAAGCGUGAGGGACGGUAAUGGGUAAAGAAGCACCGGCUAAAUACGUG
rnacentral:rRNA from 1 species